rnacentral:snRNA from 1 species
GUGCUUGCUUCGGCAGCACAUAUACUAAAAUUGGAAUGAUACAGAGAAGAUUAGCAUGGCCCCUGCACGAGGAUGACACACAAAUUUGUGAAGCGUUCCAUAUUUUU